UACGGAAGGGGCUAGCGUUGUUCGGAUUUACUGGGCGUAAAGCGCGCGUAGGCGGCUGACCAAGUGAGGCGUGAAAGCCCCGGGCUCAACCUGGGAACCGCGCUUCAGACUGGUCGGCUCGAGUCCGGGAGAGGGUGGUGGAAUUCCCAGUGUAGAGGUGAAAUUCGUAGAUAUUGGGAAGAACACCGGUGGCGAAGGCGGCCACCUGGCCCGGUACUGACGCUACAGCGCGAAAGCGUGGGGAGCAAACAGG
rnacentral:rRNA from 1 species